UUUUCAAUCUUCUUCUUGGCUUCUCCUUCUUCUUCAAGUAUAUAUCGGAUAUAUAUGAUCUUCUGAGUGAUACGACCAAGGGCAUUAGGUGUUAGGGUAAAUUAGUGGUGCUCUUUUACAUUUUCAAGACAUGUACACGUGUAGAUUUUGUUGCAGACCCACUUGAUUUUUCCUGCCCCGAUUUUUUCUUUGUAAAAUUUGGUAAGCAAUCUAUCAUUUGGCUUUCUGAUUUCUCUCCAUCCUUUGGUGAGUUUUCUAUUUCCUUUUUUGAUCUGUUUUUUUGUUUUUUGUUUUUUAUCUUCUAUUUUCUCUGGUUAACUCUUCUUUUUAUUUCUAUCUUUUACUUUCUUAGUGUAAUUUUGUUGCAUUUUCUGUUUUUUCUAAAACAAUUUGGUGACUUUUGAGUUUCCCCUUCCUUGCCUUUUCCUCUGUUUUUUCAAUCAUGUGUGUGUUUCAAUAUGAAAAUUUUGGGUCCAAUUUUUUCUAAUUUCUAUCAAGUUGUUUUCUGUGUAAUUAGUUUCCAAUAGAUAGCAGAACUUCCGAGAGUUCUGAUAAUCUACACUCGGAAUUGAAUGAAGGAUGUAAAUGAGCUCUUUUUUAUUUGUAUGAAAUAAAAACAAGAAUUUAUAAUGGCUUUGGCAGGUACUGAUUCACAAUAUCUGCAACUACAUGCCUGAUAUUACAUUACUCCUACAUAUAUUGUGUUUGUUUCUUUAGUACAAUGAUUGUAUGUAUUUGGCCCUUUUUCCUGUUCAUGUAUAUUGCAGGAAAAAGGGAAAGAAAAAUUGUUUUAACCAGAGAAACUGAAGCACGUAGCCCUUUAAGAUCUUUUAGAAUGCUUUGAGGACAAGUAAAAUUGUUUGCCUUGCUUGCUGAAUUGGUUUGCCCGGAAUUUGACCGCUCUGCAUUAGGAAUUUCUUGGAUCUUGGAAAUUGGAAUAGAAUGGUUCAAGGAUCCUAGACAAAACAAUUUAUUUUCUUUUUUUUUGUGUAUAUAAUAAGUGUGAAUUUGGUGGUAAGACCAAGGGCAUUACUGUAAAUAUAAUACAAAGUGUGGCUGUUAUGGUAAAUUAUUCAUUUUAAGCAGGACUCAAAUAUUCUUCGUACUAGGUCAUAAUGUUUGUAUCCGCUUACCUUCAUUGACUUUUUGGUAUAAAUAUUGGAGCAGUAAUGGUAUUAAGAUGAACUCAAUUGGAAUAGAGAAGGGCUAUGUGAACGAAAUUCCCAAAGACUUAUGAGAAAGAAAACAACUGGCUUGCAGUAGGGGAAACGAGGUUGUUGAAAGUCGAGGUGAGCAAGAAGAAGAGUAGAUUAUGGUAGGUCAUUGGUGAAUUCCUGAGAUUCUAUGUUUUGUUGGAGAGAAUAUGAAGGAGUAGCUUUUUAUUUAAAGAAAUUUCUAUUCGAGUAUUUUAGCUGUUUAUUUUUGCCAUGAAUGUGUAAGUGGUCAUGUCUAAAAUAGUUGGAAGUACUUAUCAAAAAAAAUUAUAGUUGGAAGUAUGGCGAACAAAAGCAUCUCUGCUUUGGCGAUAACUGAAUUAAGUUCUGACUAGCUGUUUUAAGCUAAUUUUGACACUACUAAAAAGUUGUAAUUAGGUACUUGGUAGUAGAACUGGCAAUAAAAGGAUUUGCGUAUAAUAUUUGGUGUAUCUUAUCUCAUAUGUUUUUACUAUAUACCUUCUCAGAAAAUGUUUUUACUAUAUAACCAUCUCAUUUCAUAUGGAUUUGGCAUGUAAUCUACAGCUUCUUAUCUGAUUUGAGUUCAUCCUUGACGUAUACAAUGAUCAGUGGCUUACUUUCAUCCACUAGACCCCUAGAAGUUCUUCAUUUACAUUCUCAUGUUUUCUAUAAAGUACUAAUAGUAAAUACGAGUUAGAAAAGACUUCAAUGUUAAACAGAAAAUUAAGAAAUGUUGGAGAUUUUGGGUGUCUUUUUCUUCUUCAACUUUGGCAUAAUUGAUCAUUUACAAGUACUUUUGGUGUUUGUCUCUAACAAGUUAUGCUUAAAGUGAGACCAAUGGUAUUAUCAGUGGCUUUUUAUUUCUCGCUGCAGAGAAACACUAAAAUGGAUAGUUCUAUGUAAGUACUUGCUACAUUUGUAGAUUCCCCUAUUUGGGCAUAGGGACUAAAUGAAAGCAUCUCUGUUCUUGACUUGAAAUAGAGUAGUACAUCUUCAACUAUAAGUUCCUUCACACAAGGCAAAUUAUUCGUCCGCAGAUUCUCGUACAGUUCAGUGAUGUUGGCAAAUUUAAAUUUGCUUUAUUAAAAAAGAGAAUGAACAAGGACAAUAUUUUGAUAGUGCUUUAUAGUUUCAUCAUGCUAUAACUACUGAUAUCAUUUUGUUCAGGAUUCAUUAUUAAUGAAAAGCUUCCAUUCUAUUUCUAUCAUUUGCAUCUUUUUAACACUAAAGUAUAAAUAAUUAAUUUAUUAAUUUUUUUCAUUUUAUAUCUUGGUUAGUAGAAAAUAUGUACAGACAACUUUUCUAAUGGUCAUAUAAAAACAAGAUAUGCUGGUGUCACUCGAGGAUGACAAUUUGGUUUUGGACUGAGUGUAAAAAAGGAGGCAAAUCCAAUGUAAUCUUACCGCAAAUCUGGUCUUGGCAUCUGAUAAAUUUCCUCUUGGCCUUGGACGAUUAUCUUUGGAUACAUUAUGCUAUAUGAAGUGGCAUGCUUUUUUUGUUAAUGACUCAUGAUGAUUGUUUGACUCACAUAAAUUUGCAGAAAAUAGAUAUCCAGAUGUGCAACGGGUGUUUAAGGUUUCUAAGGUUGCUCCGUCACAAGAGAAAAAAGUUCAAUCCUCUCAUCCUCAAAGGUCUCCGUCACAUGUACAUGAGUCUUCAUAUAGAAGAUGAAACGACUUACAUUUACUUCAGCGGAUGUAUUUCUAUAAAGCCCUUUGAUAUAUUUGUAUUCUCAUAUAUUGUCAUGAUUCAAUCAAUGAUAGUUAUUAUAACGGAAUAACCCAAAUUAACCA